rnacentral:rRNA from 1 species
GACGAACGCUGGCGGCGUGCUUAACACAUGCAAGUCGAACGAAGUGGCGCACGGGUGAGUAACGCGUAAUCAACCUGCCCUUCAGAGGGGGACAACAGUUGGAAACGACUGCUAAUACCGCAUACUGAAGGAGGGGAUUGCGUCUGAUUAGCUAGUUGGAGGGGUAACGGCCCACCAAGGCGAUGAUCAGUAGCCGGUCUUGGAGGAUGAACGGCCACAUUGGGACUUGGACACAGCCCAGGCUCCUAAGGGAGGCAGCAGUGGGGAAUGUUCCGCAAUGGACGAAAGUCUGUCGGAGCAACGCCGCGUGAGUGGUGACGGCCUUCGGGUUGUAAAGGUCUGUUAAUCGGGACGCGGUACCGAAAUAGAAAGCCACGGCUAACUACGUGCCAGCAGCCGCGGUAAUUC